UGCGUAGGUGGCGCCGUAAGUCGGGUGUGAAAUUUCGGAGCUUAACUCCGAAACUGCAUUCGAUACUGCGGUGCUUGAGGACUGGAGAGGAGACUGGAAUUCAUGGUGUAGCAGUGAAAUGCGUAGAGAUCAUGAGGAAGACCAGUGGCGAAGGCGGGUCUCUGGACAGUUCCUGACACUGAGGUACGAAGGCCAGGGAGCAAACG
rnacentral:rRNA from 1 species